rnacentral:rRNA from 1 species
AUGGGCAACUGCCGGAGUUCAUCUCGUGCACUCCUAGGGAAGACCCAUGUUGUUCCGGAUUCAGAAUGGGGGAUUCAGGACCUCGGAAAGACCCAUGUUCCAGUUUUUGAAUGGAGGAUUCAGGACUUCUCGUCACUGCUUAAGACUGGAGCUAAGAGCACAAUAUCUGGUGCUUUUCGCUGCUCUGGGUAUAACUGGUUCCUGCAAGUGAUUCCAAUGCAUAAAGAAGCUGGUGCUGGAACUCCAUAUGUUGCUCUUCGUCUUGUGCCAUCCCAAUUGAGCUUGGUGCCAGGUCACACGGUUCACGCGGUGUUUGAGUUGUCAAUAUACAACCAUACAAAAGGAAUGUACUGUGGAUGCAAAGCUACCUACAACUUUGAUUUCAAGAAUACCUACUCGAAGGAGCAUUGCUUGAUUCCUCUUCAGGAGCUACAGAAAUCAUCUGCUUUUCUAGUGGAUGAUAGCUGUGUCUUUGCUGUGGAGAUAUUGAAGAUUGAUGUCUCUUCUCCUGAAAAGAAGGCUGUUGUGGUUCAGAAGAAGGCUACCAUAGUUCAGAACCUCUUUGUCCAGAAUAAGGGAUUCGUCAAAGGAACAUACACUUGGACCAUGAACAAUUUCCUUGAAUUGGAUUUGAAGCACUUCGUCCGUUCUCCUACAUUUGAAGUUGGCGGACAAAAUUGGUACAUCGGCAUGUAUCCGCGUGGUGACAAGUACAGCACCGAUUGCCUCAGCUUGUACUUAUACCCGGAUGCCUCGGAUGAGCUCCAACUCGAGUCCAAGAAGGUGGCUGUAAUGACUCUGUCCAUCCUGGACCAAAAGAAUGGGAAACACUUCACUAGAACUUCAGGUCUCUGGGUAUGUGGACAAGGAUGGGGAUGGCCUAACUUCCUUGGACUCAAGAAACUCAAGGAUCCGUCGGGAGGCUAUGUUGUAGGAUCGAGCUGCGUUGUGAAGGCAGAUCUCACUAUCGUUGGUUCAUCCAAUGAUGGCUAG